rnacentral:misc_RNA from 1 species
GCAGAACUUGGCUGCCUUCUCAAAGGCGUCAGAGCCUCCUGGGAUGUCGGAGAGGUCGAUGGCAGAGAGGUCAGGUGGGUCUGAUUCGACGAGUUUUCGCCGUAGGUAGCCACUCUUUGAGACUAUGAGAAACUUGUGGAGAGGGAACUUGGCAUCGCCGACUUGGACGACAACAUCAGUAGGGAUCUCUUGAGAGAAAACCCACUGCAAGGUUCUGUUCAUGGAUGAUGAGAAACGAGAACUUGUGGAUAGAGAGGACAUGAA